UACGGAGGGUGCAAACGUUGCUCGGAAUUAUUGGGCGUAAAGCGCACGUAGGCGGCUCGUUAAGUCGGAUGUGAAAGCCCGCGGCUCAAACCGCGGAAGUGCAUCCGAAACUAACGAGCUUGAGUAUGGAAGAGGGUCUCGGAAUUCCCGGUGUAGAGGUGAAAUUCGUAGAUAUCGGGAGGAACACCAGUGGCGAAGGCGGAGACCUGGGCCAAUACUGACGCUGAGGUGCGAAAGCGUGGGGAGCAACAGGG
rnacentral:rRNA from 1 species